rnacentral:rRNA from 1 species
AUGCCUGCAUCCCCAUCUAGUCUUGGUGGACCGGGAAGGGGGGGGGGAGGGACGACCUUGAUACUACCGACGGCCUUGCCGAGCAAGCGCGCACAAUGUCAUACUCGUUGUCGUGGAUGCUGGGCUAGCCGACCAUGUAGCAGUAUCACGAUAACCACUGAGGCCCACCGCACAUGCCGGGAGAAGGUACUCAUCGUCCGCAAGCACCGCUCGGACCAGCCAAACCCCAACUACCCGGACGUCAUCGACGGCGGCGGCGGCGGGGUAGGGGAGAAGGAGGUGGGGGGACGCAGCUCCGACAGCUUGGGUUUUCAGGGCAUGACCAAUGCAUAG